ACAUUUUUCAACGCUCUAACACCUCCCCCUCCUUUCCCCGCGGGUUGACCCGGAAGUGCUCCUAUUCUCCUUAGAGGCACAGCGGAGAAAGACGCGGGCGCGCACGCACGCACGCACUCAUACAUACACACACAUAUACAUACAUACACACUCCAGCACGGACACUCUACCUUAGCCGCCCAGGAGUACGUCGAUCCUCUACGAAUCUGCCGCUUGGCUUACUUUCGGCCGCUACCUCUGUACCCUUUCCCCGCCCGAAAAACUAAUUUUUUAAUAUUAAAAAAAAAUGGCAGAGUCGACAGAGGAGGUGGCGGUCCUGGUGCAGCGGGUGGUGAAGGACAUCAACAACGCCUUCAAGAGGAAUCCGCACAUAGAUGAAAUAGGACUAAUUCCCUGUCCUGAAGCUCGGUACAACCGGAGUCCAAUAGUCUUGGUUGAAAAUAAACUUGGUGUGGAGAGUUGGUGUGUCAAGUUUCUUUUGCCAUAUGUCCACAACAAACUUCUCCUCUAUAGGCAAAGAAAGCAGCGACUAAACAAAGAUGAAUUGAUAGAUGUCACAUGUACCCUGCUACUUCUAAACCCAGACUUUACCACUGCAUGGAACGUGAGGAAAGAGCUAAUCCUAUCUGGCACUUUAAAUCCAAUUAAGGACUUGCAUCUGGGAAAACUGGCCUUAACUAAGUUUCCGAAGAGUCCAGAAACAUGGAUUCACAGGCGAUGGGUGCUACAACAACUAAUUCAGGAAAAUUCCUUACCCACUUUUGUGAAGAAAGAGAGCUUGGCAACAUUUCCCAUGGAAAGAGUACAGCGACUAGUGCAAGAGGAGAUUGAGGUCUGUGGUGAAGCUGCUGGGAGAUACCCAAGUAACUAUAAUGCCUGGUCUCAUCGCAUCUGGGUUUUGCAACACCUGGCAAAGCUGGAUAUGAAGAUUCUUCUUGAUGAGCUAUCUUCCACCAAACAUUGGGCAUCAAUGCAUGUUUCAGAUCACAGUGGAUUUCACUAUCGCCAAUUCUUACUGAAAUCUUUGAUAAGCCAAACUGUGACCGACAGUGCUGUAUUAGAACAAAACCCUUUGGUAAGUGAGCAUAUCUCAGAUCUUCCAAAAGAUGAUGAUGAAGAUACUUCAGCAGAGCACCACAGAGUGGUGGAUCUUUCCCAUCUCCUAGAAGAAGAAGUUGAAUUCAGCACAGAUCUCAUUGAUAACUACCCAGGACAUGAAACACUCUGGUGCCAUAGCACUUAGCAUAGUGCCUGGAAUAUAAUAGGCAUUGAAUCAGUGCUUAUUAAAUGAACGAAUUUUCAGAAGAGAAAGCGGCAUGUGUUCUACCUUCAGCACCACUUAAAUAGUAAGCUUCCUCACAGCCUGAUGCGACUGUCACCUAUGGACAGCAGUGGUGGAACUUUAAAUGACUUACAUCUCAGCCCGGCGGUCACUCAAAUGACUCA